CCGCCGGCGACCGGCGCACGGGUGAGUAACACGUAUGCAACCUGGCCGUGACAGAUGGAUAGCCGGGAGAAAUCCCGCCUAAUACAACAUAAUGCCGGGAGGGGACAUCCCCUGCCGGCCAAAGGGGCGACCCCGGUCACGGAUGGGCAUGCGGCGCAUUAGGUAGUUGGUGGGGCAACGGCCCACCAAGCCGACGAUGCGUAGGGGUUCUGAGAGGAAGGUCCCCCACAUUGGAACUGAGACACGGUCCAAACUCCUACGGAAGGCAGCAG
rnacentral:rRNA from 1 species